rnacentral:rRNA from 1 species
UACGUAGGGGGCAAGCGUUGUCCGGAAUCAUUGGGCGUAAAGAGCGUGUAGGCGGCCUGUCAAGUCCGCUGUGAAAACUCGAGGCUCAACUUCGAGCUGUCGGUGGAAACUUUCUGGCUAGAGUCCGGAAGAGGAGAAUGGAAUUCCUGGUGUAGCGGUGAAAUGCGCAGAUAUCAGGAAGAACACCCGUGGCGAAGGCGGUUCUCUGGGACGGUACUGACGCUGAGACGCGAAAGCGUGGGGAGCGAACAGG